rnacentral:lncRNA from 1 species
AGCCUCCCUCCCGAUCGGGGCCUCCGCGAAGUCCCCAGCCCCCAGGCACACUGGACACCAUCCGCAGAUGUGUGGGCGGGCGUGCGAGGCUUUGCCCCAGACUCUUCCACCGCACCGUUACACAAACCCUGAGGCGGAGGGGUGCGAGUGGCCCUGCCGUUUGAGGACAGGUUCACCUGCUGGUUAUUGUCGGUUUAAUCCCGGGAACUGAGCACCCGCACCUUUCUGGUUAAACACGCCUUUUCCUCCCGUUUUCUACAGNNNNNNNNNNNNNNNNNNNNNNNCCGGGGGGCCCCCCCCCCCCCCCAGUUCUUUACAGUUUUGCUCUAAAUAGCUGUGAAAGUUGCUUCUCCCUUCCCACACAGGGCAGGGUUACGGGAGCUGCACUGGUGACCGCCAUCACCCUUCAACUGGGGUCCCACCGUGGGGACACAGAGCUUCGCGUUGUCUGGUCUCCCACUCCUGCUGGUGGCACACUGCGUUCUUAGGCGCCUCAAGGUGGCAUUUUGACCUCCAGCCGGACAAGCUUUUGCCUGUUUCUUAUUUGUAGGAGCGACGCAUAGGUUUGUAUUUGUGAAGCUGAAGGAGGGGCGUGGUAGAGAAAUACACCGUGGAGACAAACAGGGAAUGACGCAUAGUGAGGCAAUUAUUUUCCCUUCUAUUUCACAAGAAAAUGAAGCCACCAGCCCAAAAUGCUUUCAACUUCCUGCCAUGAAGUUGACAAGCUCAUCAGAAGCUCCACCCUUGCCUUCUUUGCUCCUCUCUCAGAGCAGGAGGAGACCCCCUCCUCAGAAGCUGAGCUGCCACCUCUCUCUGGACCAUCUUCUACUACUUUCUGUAGACCUCAGUACCUCCCCAUCAGAAUGGAAACAUGUUCAUCUAUG